rnacentral:rRNA from 1 species
AGAGUUUGAUCCUGGCUCAGGAUGAACGCUGGCGGCGUGCUUAAUACAUGCAAGUCGAACGGAUGAAGGAAGAAAGCUUGCUUUCUUCCCGAUUCAGUGGCGAACGGGUGAGUAAUACGUAGGCAACCUGCCCCAAAGCGGGGGAUAGCAGUUGGAAACGACUAUUAAUACCGCAUAGGUAAUAGGGAGGCAUCUCCUUAUUAUUAAAGGUGCGUUUGCACCGCUGUGGGAUGGGCUUACGCUGUAUUAGCUUGUUGGUGAGGUAACGGCCCACCAAGGCGAUGAUACAUAGCCGGUCUGAGAGGAUGAACGGCCACAUUGGGACUGAGACACGGCCCAGACUCCUACGGGAGGCAGCAGUAAGGAAUUUUCGGCAAUGGACGAAAGUCUGACCGAGCAACGCCGCGUGAGUGAUGAAGGUCUUCGGAUCGUAAAGCUCUGUGGUAAAGGAAGAAUACCAUGUUUAGGAAAUGAUUCAUGGCUGACGGUACUUUACUAGAAAGUCACGGCUUACUACGUGCCAGCAGCCGCGGUAAUACGUAGGUGGCAAGCGUUAUCCGGAUUUAUUGGGCGUAAAGGGUGCGCAGGCGGUCUGUUUAGUCUGGGGUGAAAGCGUUGAGCUCAACUCAAUUAAGCCUUGGAUACUGGCAGACUAGAGUGCAGAAGAGGGUUAUGGAACUCCAUGUGUAGCGGUAAAAUGCGUAGAUAUAUGGAAGAACACCGGCGGCGAAGGCGGUAACCUGGUCUGUAACUGACGCUCAGGCACGAAAGCGUGGGGAGCAAAUAGGAUUAGAUACCCUAGUAGUCCACGCCCUAAACGAUGAUUACUAAAUGUUGGGGAAACUCAGUGUUGUAGCUAACGCAAUAAGUAAUCCGCCUGGGGAGUAUGCACGCAAGUGUGAAACUUAAAGGAAUUGACGGGGCCCCGCACAAGCGGUGGAGUAUGCGGUUUAAUUCGACGCAACGCGAAGAACCUUACCAGGGCUUGACAUCCCCUGCAAAACUAUAGAGAUAUGGCAGAGGUUAUCAGGGUGACAGGUGGUGCAUGGUUGUCGUCAGGUCGAGUCGUGGGAUGUUGGGGUAAGUCCGGCAACGAGCGCAACCCUUGUCUCAAGGUACCAGCCUCCCGU